rnacentral:tRNA from 1 species
GCCGAGAUCGCGUAACCCGGUAUCGCGCUAGCCUGGAAAGCUAGUGUCCUUCGGGACUUGGGGGUUCAAAUCCCUCUCUCGGCG